rnacentral:rRNA from 1 species
CAGAGUACCAAUUGGAGGGCAAGUCUGGUGCCAGCAGCCGCGGUAAUUCCAGCUCCAAUAGCGUAUAUUAAACUUGUUGCAGUUAAAAAGCUCGUAGUUGAAUUUCAGCGUUUCGCGUGUGCCUCUUUUGGCCCAUCUCGUCUCGCUUUUUUUAUUACUUUGAGAAAAUUAGAGUGUUUCAAGCAGGCUUUUGUCUUGAAUACUUGAGCAUGGAAUAAUAGAGUAGGACCUUGGUUCUAUUUUGUUGGUUUUGUUACCUUGGUAAUGGUUAAUAGGAACGGUUGGGGGCAUUCGUAUUUAACUGUCAGAGGUGAAAUUCUUAGAUUUGUUAAAGACGAACUACUGCGAAAGCAUUUGCCAAGGACGUUUCCAUUAAUCAAGAACGAAAGUUAGGGGAUCGAAGACGAUCAGAUACCGUCGUAGUCCU